CCUCCAGUUCUUGGCACACACAUGGCUGUCCGUGCCUGUGUGUGUGAUGUUCGGAGGAAGAGCAAGUGGUAGUGUAAUGUCUUCGGUACCAGUGAGCCUAACUCUCCUGGUCCUAUCCUCAAGCACUGGCACAAGG
ensembl:snoRNA